rnacentral:rRNA from 1 species
AUUGAACGCUGGCGGAAUGCUUUACACAUGCAAGUCGAACGGCAGCACGGACUUCGGUCUGGUGGCGAGUGGCGAACGGGUGAGUAAUACAUCGGAACGUGCCCAGUCGUGGGGGAUAACGUAGCGAAAGCUACGCUAAUACCGCAUACAAUCUACGGAUGAAAGCGGGGGAUCGCAAGACCUCGCGCGAUUGGAGCGGCCGAUGGCAGAUUAGGUAGUUGGUAGGGUAAAGGCUUACCAAGGCGACGAGCUGUAGCUGGUCUGAGAGGAUGGCCGGCCUCCCUGGGACUGAGACCCGGCCCAGACUCCUACAGGAGGAAGCCGUGGGGUAUUCUGGACAAUGCACGCAAGUCUGACUCAUCCAUUCCGCGUGCAGGAUGAAGGCCCUCGGGUUGUAAACUGCUUUUGUACAGAACGAAAAGGCUCUGGUUAAUACCUGGGGCUCAUGACGGUACUGUAAGAAUAAGCACCGGCUAACUACGUGCCAGCCGCCGCCGUAA